rnacentral:rRNA from 1 species
UACGGGGGGGGGCAAGCGUUGUUCGGAAUUACUGGGCGUAAAGGGCUCGUAGGCGGCCAACUAAGUCGGACGUGAAAUCCCAGGCUCAACCUGGAACUGCGUCGGAUACUGGAUGGCUUGAAUCGGGAGAGGGAUGCAGAAUUCCAGGUGUAGCGGUGAAAUGCGUAGAUAUCUGGAGGAAUACCGGUGGCGAAGGCGGCAUCCUGGACCGACAUUGACGCUGAGGAGCGAAAGCUAGGGGAGCAAACGGG